rnacentral:sRNA from 2 species
CCUCCAGGCAUCUUUUGAAAUGUGCAACAAAAUAAAAACCUCUGAACCUGUUUUGACACUGCAAACUCAGUGGAUGACAUGCCAGCCCAUUGGAAGCUGAAGGUGUUCCUGAAGUAUCUGAAAAAUAUGAAAUUAGCUCUGUUCCCACUUUUCUGUUUUUCAAGAAUUCUCAGAAAAUCGACCGAUUAGAUGGUGCACAUGCCCCAGAGUUGACCAAAAAAGUUCAGCGACAUGCAUCUAGU